AUUGAACGCUGGCGGCAGGCCUAACACAUGCAAGUCGAACGAGUGGCGGACGGGAGAGCAAUGUCUGGGAAAGUGCCCGAGGGAGGGGGAUAACUACCGGAAACGGUAGCUAAUACCGCAUACCAGCGGAUGUGCCCAGAUGGGAUUAGCUAGUAGGUGUGGUAACGGCUCACCUGGGCGACGAUCCCUACCUUGUCUGAGAGGAUGACCAGCCACACUGGAACUGAGACACGGUCCAGACUCCUACGUGAGGCAGCAGUGGGGAAUAUUGCACAAUGGGCGCAAGCCUGAUGCAGCCAUGCCGCGUGUAUGAAGAAGGCCUUCGGGUUGUAAAGUACUUUCAGCGAGGAGGCGUUACUCGCAGAAGAAGCACCGGCUAACUCCGUGCCAGCAGCCGCGGUAAUAC
rnacentral:rRNA from 1 species